UCGAUCGAGAUAUUCACGGAACCACUUUUACUGCCGUACGUCACCGGAAAACCUACCGGGGCGCGGAGGCGAAGAAUCAAAGAUGAGCGUGAUCGACCUUUUGACCAGAGUAGAUGCGAUUUGCCAGAAGUACGACAAAUAUGACGUUGAAAAGCAGAGAGAUCUCAAUGUUUCCGGCGACGAUGCCUUCGCUCGACUCUACGCCACUGUCGAAGCUGACAUUGAAGCCGCUCUCCAGAAAGCGGAGGAUGCUUCUAAAGAGAAGAAUAGGGCAUCGGUGG
rnacentral:misc_RNA from 1 species